rnacentral:rRNA from 1 species
AGAGUUUGAUCAUGGCUCAGAAUGAACGUUGGCGGCGUGGAUUAGGCAUGCAAGUCGGACGGGCCGCAAGGCCAGUGGCGCAAGGGUGAGUAAGGCGAAGGUAACCAACCCCGCGGAUGGGCAUAGCCGGGGGAAACCCCGGGUAAUUCCCAGCGACAUGACGACCCGGCAUCGGGAUGUCAUCAAAGAUUCAUCGCCGCGGGACGGGCCUUCGUGGUAUUAGCUAGUUGGCGGGGUGACGGCCCACCAAGGCCGCGAUGCCUACCGGGCGUGCGAGCGUGGCCCGGCACACUGGGACUGAGACACUGCCCAGACUCCUACGGGAGGCUGCAGUCGAGAAUCUUCGGCAAUGGGCGCAAGCCUGACCGAGCGACGCCGCGUGGAGGACGAAGGCCCUCGGGUUGUAAACUCCUGUCGAGGGGGAGGAAGCUUCGGUUGACCGAACCCUGGAGGAAGCACGGGCUAAGUUCGUGCCAGCCGCCGCGGUAAUAC